GGUGGAAGUCAUCCAGCUGGACAACAACAUCUCGAAGAACCAAUCCUCAGCACCGACCUGUUCAUCAUGAUGAUCAGAAUCCUCUGCAUGAGCGUCCUCGUGAUGCUUUUCUGCACAGACAUUGAAGCAUAGAAAAGAAAAGAAAAAAGGUUGAAGUGUUACACUUGUAAAGAGAAAAACUGCUCAAAACCACAAUUUUGUCAUCAUGGGCAGAUAUGCAUGAGCGCCUCUAUUGUUGAAAUCAAACAUGGAAAGCAGGAGAAAUCCUACAACAUGUCUUGCGCAUCACCUUCAUACUGUGUGAGUUUGGGAGGAAACGGGACCUUGGCCAUCAACGUGGACUCUCAGGUGUUUGUGGCGACCGUUAAGUGCUGCAACUCCAAUCUCUGCAACAAAAGACCUCCUCCCCACCCCGAAAUAAAAAUCUGGAAAUGGCCUGAAGUGCCACAACCAACCACUCCUGAACCAACCCUUCCACCCUGUGGCAGAAAGAUAGAAACACUCCCACCACCUUAAACCAGUCCCUUGGUCUUGGCGACAAACCUUUAAAAUGUUGAUUAAAGUCUGGGUGAAUCUUUAGUGGAUUUUACAUCAAACAUGCAGAUCUUAACAAACUUAUCAGACCACCACCCGCUGUGAGGUUAAAUCACAGCAUUGGUAAAUAUCUUUGUUUCUGUCAUUUAGCUAAUCUCCUAAACAAAACAAAAAGAUGGUUAGUGUUCGAAUACAUUUGUUAACCAACAUAUUUGAUGUUUUGCCUUUUAGCGAUGGAAUUAGAUGAUGAAUUAAUGAAGAUCAAACAUUCCUUCAAAGGAGCGUUGGUUACUUCUAACUUCUACAUUUGACUCUUUUAGUAAAGGUAGCAGGGCUGAGUUUCUAAUGCUUUCUUAAAAUGCUUUCUUCAUGGGAACAAUCAUUAAGGGC
rnacentral:lncRNA from 1 species